GGUUUAGCUGAGUGGCAUAAGCACCUGUUUGGCAAGCACAAGGUCAUGGGUUCAAUUCCCAAUACCA
rnacentral:tRNA from 1 species